GGAAAAUCCGUUUUCAUGGCAACACGGAGCCUCUCCAAGUGAAAGAAAAGUUUCUUGGAGGGGGGGACGGUGGCCAGAGAGGAGCCGAGGCCGUCCUCGGGGCGAACCUCCGGGCCCCCUCCACUGGCCGCGCACCUGCCAGGACCACUGAGCGCUGCUCUCGCCGCGCAGCCGCGCCGCCUCCCCGGGAAGCAAGCUCUGUUAACGGACUCCGUCCUUCUCNCUUUUUUUUUUUUUUUUUUUUGUUUUUUGUUUUUUUUGUUUUGUUUUGUUUUGUUUUACAGCCUUCCUGACCGGAGGCUCCGAGCCCGACACUCACCCGCUUGUCGGGUUGUCUGCCAAAGACUAGAGGCGCGGGAACCCUGGCUGCGGGGAGAGGGAACCCAGACUAUCGCCUCCGCCAGCCCAAGCGAGUGGCACAGCGUUUGAAACUCCCGGAGCUGCCCGAGUCGACGGGUGGGAAGGAGAAGCCAGCUGGGCAGGAAUGGCAGAGACUGAAAUAAGGUGUUCGCACGGUGUGGCCCACCAACUCCCCAGCCUCCUGCAAAGGCGUGGAGCAACUACGAGGAAUUUGACAACCUUUGCCUUCGGCGCCCUCUUGCCGACCCCACAACCCGAACACCACUACCUCCCCGAAGGAAGGACCGCUCCGUCCCGGAGUUGGGUCCCACUAGCAGAGCGUCUUCCGGGUCACUGCCGUCGACCUCUGGGCUUUGCUCCCUCCUCCCCGCCCACAGCUCCCCGCACGCGCCUGGCUCGCGGGGCUGCCAAACCCGCCCCCCUGCGGAGCAGCCUCGGGCACCCGGCACCCUACGGCCCAGCCCGCCCUCCCACGGGGCCUGCCGUCUUUUCCACUUCCGCGUGUGGCUGCAAAGGCGCGGCCCUCCACAGCGGUGAGGUGGCCUGCCAGAAGCCGGGGCCGGGAAAACAGUCGAAAAAUCGUUAUCAGUACGUAAUGUCGCUUGCGUUGCUUCCACGUCGCACAGUUCCACCCGUUUAUUCAGACUGGGGGGCGCGGGCCCUUCGGGCGGGGCAGUGCAUCCCGGGGAAGGGCGCACGUAAAGCCACUGCACCUCCGGGCACCUCCAGGG
rnacentral:lncRNA from 1 species